rnacentral:rRNA from 1 species
CAAUAAGCGGAGGAAAAGAAACCAACAGGGAUUGCCCCAGUAACGGCGAGUGAAGCGGCAACAGCUCAAAUUUGAAAUCCCGCCUUCUGGCGGGAGUUGUAAUUUGGAGAGGAUGCUUGGGGCGCGGCGCCCAGCGAGUGCCUUGGAACAGGCCGCCAGAGAGGGUGAGAGCCCCGUACGGUGGGAUGCCUAGCCCGUGCCAAGCUCCUUCGACGAGUCGAGUAGUUUGGGAAUGCUGCUCUAAAUGGGAGGUAAAUUUCUUCUAAAGCUAAAUACCGGCCAGAGACCGAUAGCGCACAAGUAGAGUGAUCGAAAGAUGAAAAGCACUUUGAAAAGAGGGUUAAACAGUACGUGAAAUUGUUGAAAGGGAAGCGCCUGUGACCAGACCUGCGCCCCGCGAACCACCUGGCGCUCGCGCCGGGGCACGCCGCGGGGUGCAGGCCAGCAUCGGCUCUCCCAGGGGGACAAAGGCUGCGGGAACGUAGCACUCUUCGGGGUGUGUUAUAGCCCGUGGCGCCAUGCCCUUGGGGGGGCCGAGG